UUAAUAAAUUUUAGUUUUGGCAAGAAAUGUCAGAGUAAAAAUCAUUAUUGCUGUGGGUUGCUCUGUUAUUGGUUUAGCCGUAACCGCAGUCUGCUUUUACUUGAGGAAUAAAAGAAAGGAAAAAAAGAGACAUGAAGGUGGAUUUUUUAGUCAUAAAGGUUGAAAAACUAUCUUCUUUGAGAGUUUUUUAUUU
rnacentral:sRNA from 1 species